CCGCGUGCUGCUGCUACUCACUCGGCCAGGGCCAAGGGUUGUCCCCCUUUCUGGGAUGAGGCCUAGCAAUGUCUCCUAGUGCUGACUGAAUAUUGACAGGAGUGCUGGACCCCUUUGCCAGGGCUUAGCGAUGCCCUCCUAUGCCAAGGAUUGAGUGCUCUCCUUCUAGGAUAAGUCCAAGCCGCUUUCCCAGAUAGUCCCAUGGGAUCAUGCCAUCUUUUCCAGUCUUCAUCAAAAUUUACCAAAGAAUGAUGUCUCUGGACCCUGGAUUCUUCUCACCAUACUGCCAUCUACUGCUGCGGUGCCUUCUGAUAGUGAGACAAGGUACUUUAGGGGGGUGUAUGGUGAGGCACUAUCAGCUGGCGGAAUCAGGAAAAACCUCAUCUAGGACUGGACCUUUGGACUUUGGAGAAAACUGGGAAUUCUAAGAGGUGAAGUUGGGGUUGGGAUGGUGGCUACAUUCCCAGUAUAGAUGACAAGCAUGUACUGGACAGAGAGUUGGAAACGGAAUGUUAUGAAUGAGGAAUAAUAAGCCAGCCCCAGUUGGGUUGAAAGUAAAGUGUAUAAUAGUGGGAAAAUGUAUAAUAAGCUUGAAAAGGUGUUGUAGAACCAGGUUGUGAAGAACUUUAAAUGCCAAACAAUAGAGAAGGAAUAGGGAGCCACUGAAGCUUUUUGACCAAGACAGUGACAUGGUCCCCCACCCCAUGCCUGAGCUAUGUCAAUCUGGCAGUUAUGUGGAGGAUAGAUUGAAAAGGUAAGAGACCUGGGACAAGGAAACCAACCAGGAGUUUAUUGCAGCAGCCCAGAUGAGAGGUGAUGAGGGUCUGAACUAGGGUGGUGAGCAUAUGAAUGGAGAGAGGGACGGACUCAAGGAAGUUGCGGAUGUA
rnacentral:lncRNA from 1 species